rnacentral:rRNA from 1 species
AUUGAACGCUGGCGGCAUGCUUUACACAUGCAAGUCGAACGGUAACAGGCCUUCGGGUGCUGACGAGUGGCGAACGGGUGAGUAAUGCAUCGGAACGUACCCAGAGGUGGGGGAUAACGCAGCGAAAGCUGUGCUAAUACCGCAUGUGAUCUGAGGAUGAAAGCGGGGGACCGAGCAGCAAUGUUUGGCCUCGCGCCUUUGGAGCGGCCGAUGUCGGAUUAGCUAGUUGGUGGGGUAAAGGCCUACCAAGGCGACGAUCCGUAGCUGGUCUGAGAGGACGACCAGCCACACUGGGACUGAGACACGGCCCAGACUCCUACGGGAGGCAGCAGUGGAGAAUUUUGGACAAUGGGCGCAAGCCUGAUCCAGCAAUGCCGCGUGCGGGAAGAAGGCCUUCGGGUUGUAAACCGCUUUUGGCAGGAACGAAACGGUGUCCGCUAAUACCGGGCGCUAAUGACGGUACCUGCAGAAUAAGCACCGGCUAACUACGUG